rnacentral:rRNA from 1 species
UACGGAGGAUCCUAGUGUUAUCCGGAUUUAUUGGGUUUAAAGGGAGCGUAGGCGGGAGGUCAAGUCAGCUGUGAAAUGUAUCUGCUUAACGGGUACACUGCAGUUGAAACUGGUUUUCUUGAGUGCGUAAGAGGCAGGCGGAAUUCGUUGUGUAGCGGUGAAAUGCUUAGAUAUGACGAGGAACUCCUAUCGCGAAGGCAGCUUGCUGGGUCGUUACUGACGCUGAUGCUCGAAGGUGCGGGGAUCAAACAGGAUUAGAUA